rnacentral:rRNA from 1 species
GACUCCUGGCUACAGAACGAACGCUGGCGGCAGGCCUAACACAUGCAAGUCGAACGAGUAAGAGCCGUAGCAAUACGGAGUUCUGCGAGUGGCGCACGGGUGCGUAACGCGUGGGAACCUGCCCUUAGGUUCGGAAUAACUCAGAGAAAUUUGAGCUAAUACCGGAUAAUGUCUUCGGACCAAAGAUUUAUCGCCUUUGGAUGGGCCCGCGUUGGAUUAGCUAGUUGGUGGGGUAAAGGCCUACCAAGGCGACGAUCCAUAGCUGGUCUGAGAGGAUGAUCAGCCACACUGGGACUGAGACACGGCCCAGACUCCUACGGGAGGCAGCAGUGGGGAAUAUUGGACAAUGGGCGAAAGCCUGAUCCAGCAAUGCCGCGUGAGUGAUGAAGGCCUUAGGGUUGUAAAGCUCUUUUACUGGGGAUGAUAAUGACAGUACCCAGAGAAUAAGCUCCGGCUAACUCCGUG